rnacentral:ribozyme from 1 species
CGAUUGAGCUGGGAUAACUGUGGAUUGCAUCUAUGCUGAUGUUGGCCACCCAGUGAGGUCUUCCAGGGAAACACAGUGGCUUAGCAACCACUGGCAUAUUAACUGGA